rnacentral:rRNA from 1 species
GUCUACGGCCAUGCCACCCUGAACGUGCCCAAUCUCAUCUGAUCUCGAAAGCUAAGCGGGGUCGGGCCUGGUUAGUACUUGGAUGGGAGACCACCUAGGAAUACCAGGUGCUGUAGGUA